UUAACUGAAACCAAAAUAGAGGUAUAUUACUGUUAAUAAUAUAAUUGAAUAAGUUUAAUUCCAGUUAAG
rnacentral:tRNA from 1 species